rnacentral:rRNA from 1 species
CGGGGUGCAGCAGGCGCGAAAACUUUACAAUGCUGGCAACAGCGAUAAGGGGACCUUGAGUGCCAGGAUACAAUCCUGGCUGUCGUGAUGCCUAAAAAGCAUUAUAUAGCAAGGGCCGGGCAAGACCGGUGCCGGCCGCCGCGGUAACACCGGCGGCUCGAGUGGUAACCGCUAUUAUUGGGUCUAAAGGGUCUGUAGCCGGCUUGGUUAGUCUCUUGGGAAAUCCGGCAGCUUAACUGUCGGGCUUUCAGGAGAUACUGCCAGGCUCGAGACCGGGAGAGGUGAGAGGUACUUCAUGGGUAGGGGUGAAAUCUUGUAAUCCUUGAAGGACCACCAGUGGCGAAGGCGUCUCACCAGAACGGAUCUGACGGCAAGGGACGAAAGCUAGGGGCACGAACCGGAUUAGAUACCCGGGUAGUCCUAGCCGUAAACGAUACUCGCUAGGUGUCGGCCACGGUGCGACCGUGGUCGGUGCCGUAGGGAAGCCGUGAAGCGAGCCACCUGGGAAGUACGGCCGCAAGGCUGAAACUUAAAGGAAUUGGCGGGGGAGCAC